rnacentral:rRNA from 1 species
UGGAUUCACCUUCGGGUGAUAGUACGGUGGCGGACGGGUGAGUAACGCGUAAAGAACUUGCCCUCUAGACUGGGACAACUGUUGGAAACGACAGCUAAUACCGGAUAUUAUGAGAACCUCGCAUGGGGAACUUAUGAAAGGCUAUAUGCGCUAGAGGAGAGCUUUGCGUGCCAUUAGGUAGUUGGUAGGGUAAUGGCCUACCAAGCCGACGAUGGCUAGCCGGCCUGAGAGGGUGAUCGGCCACAAGGGGACUGAGACACGGCCCUUACUCCUACGGGAGGCAGCAGUGGGGAAUAUUGGACAAUGGACCAAAAGUCUGAUCCAGCAAUUCUGUGUGCACGAUGAAGGUUUUCGGAUCGUAAAGUGCUUUCAGUAGGGAAGAAAAAAAUGACGGUACCUACAGAAGAAGCGACGGCUAAAUACGUGCCAGCAGCCGCGGUAAUACGUAUGUCGCAAGCGUUAUCCGGAAUUAUUGGGCGUAAAGCGCGUCUAGGCGGUCUUUUAAGUCUGAUGUUAAAAUGCGGGGCUCAACUCCGUAUUGCGUUGGAAACUGGAAGACUAGAGUAUCAGAGAGGUGGGC